UACGUAGGCAGCGAGCGUUGUUCGGAGUUACUGGGCGUAAAGCGUGCGUAGGCGGUGUCUUAAGUUUGUUGUGAAAUCUCCCGGCUUAACCGGGAGGGUGCGGCGAAUACUGAGAUGCUGGAGUGCCGGAGAGGUAAGCGGAAUUCCUGGUGUAGCGGUGAAAUGCGUAGAUAUCAGGAGGAACACCUGCGGUGUAGACAGCUUACUGGACCAUUUCUGACGCUGAGACACGAAAGCGUGGGUAGCAAACAGG
rnacentral:rRNA from 1 species